CGGGGGGGGGGGCUAUACAUGCAGUAGACGCUGAAGAGAGGAGCUUGCUCUUCUUGGAUGAGUUGCGAACGGGUGAGUAACGCGUAGGUAACCUGCCUUGUAGCGGGGGAUAACUAUUGGAAACGAUAGCUAAUACCGCAUAACAAUGGAUGACACAUGUCAUUUAUUUGAAAGGGGCAAUUGCUCCACUACAAGAUGGACCUGCGUUGUAUUAGCUAGUAGGUGAGGUAAUGGCUCACCUAGGCGACGAUACAUAGCCGACCUGAGAGGGUGAUCGGCCACACUGGGACUGAGACACGGCCCAGACUCCUACGGGAGGCAGCAGUAGGGAAUCUUCGGCAAUGGGGGCAACCCUGACCGAGCAACGCCGCGUGAGUGAAGAAGGUUUUCGGAUCGUAAAGCUCUGUUGUAAGUCAAGAACGGGUGUGAGAGUGGAAAGUUCACACUGUGACGGUAGCUUACCAGAAAGGGACGGCUAACUACGUGCCAGCAGCCGCGGUAAUACGUAGGUCCCGAGCGUUGUCCGGAUUUAUUGGGCGUAAAGCGAGCGCAGGCGGUUUGAUAAGUCUGAAGUUAAAGGCUGUGGCUCAACCAUAGUUCGCUUUGGAAACUGUCAAACUUGAGUGCAGAAGGGGAGAGUGGAAUUCCAUGUGUAGCGGUGAAAUGCGUAGAUAUAUGGAGGAACACCGGUGGCGAAAGCGGCUCUCUGGUCUGUAACUGACGCUGAGGCUCGAAAGCGUGGGGAGCGAACAGGAUUAGAUACCCUGGUAGUCCACGCCGUAAACGAUGAGUGCUAGGUGUUGGAUCCUUUCCGGGAUUCAGUGCCGCAGCUAACGCAUUAAGCACUCCGCCUGGGGAGUACGACCGCAAGGUUGAAACUCAAAGGAAUUGACGGGGGCCCGCACAAGCGGUGGAGCAUGUGGUUUAAUUCGAAGCAACGCGAAGAACCUUACCAGGUCUUGACAUCCCGAUGCUAUUUCUAGAGAUAGAAAGUUACUUCGGUACAUCGGUGACAGGUGGUGCAUGGUUGUCGUCAGCUCGUGUCGUGAGAUGUUGGGUUAAGUCCCGCAACGAGCGCAACCCCUAUUGUUAGUUGCCAUCAUUCAGUUGGGCACUCUAGCGAGACUGCCGGUAAUAAACCGGAGGAAGGUGGGGAUGACGUCAAAUCAUCAUGCCCCUUAUGACCUGGGCUACACACGUGCUACAAUGGUUGGUACAACGAGUUGCGAGUCGGUGACGGCGAGCUAAUCUCUUAAAGCCAAUCUCAGUUCGGAUUGUAGGCUGCAACUCGCCUACAUGAAGUCGGAAUCGCUAGUAAUCGCGGAUCAGCACGCCGCGGUGAAUACGUUCCCGGGCCUUGUACACACCGCCCGUCACACCACGAGAGUUUGUAACACCCGAAGUCGGUGAGGUAACCUUUUGGAGCCAGCCGCUAAAGGUGAACCG
rnacentral:rRNA from 1 species